GGAAAGCUUAAAACCAGCCACCCAGAACCACUCUGCCUGGAGAAAGAAGACAAUAUUUGGCAUGAUUUGCUUCAUCUACUACAGGUGACUCCGUCAGGACACCAGGAACAUGAUUGCAGUCCAGGAUACCAUACUGCAACCUCAAUCCAUCGAAUGAGCUCGGUCAAAAAUCACCUAAGAAAAAUAUGUCGUUCUUCUCUACAAGGGUUGCAUGUGGAAUCUGAGGAGAAUCUGUGCACCAGCGUACGACUCCUUGAUGUUGCUCUGAUCAUAUUGUGUAAAUAUAUUUCUAAUAAAGCAAUCGCCCGAUGGUGUACAUGUUAGAAAUAAUAAGAUGUAAUCAUCAAGUGUGAGAGAUGGCAACAUCAUGAUGGGAUGGUAUGUACUGUUGUGCUCAUCAAUAGAGUUAGAUCACUUUUCUGUCUGAGAGUCGAUUUUUUUGUGCGUUAGAUGGAUUGACAAGUA